GAUAAACGCUGGCGGCGCACAUAAGACAUGCAAGUUGAACGGACUUAAUCGAAAUAUUUAUAUUUUGAAGCGGUUAGUGGCGGACUGGUGAGUAACGCGUAAGGAACCUGCCUAUUAGAGGGGAAUAACAGUGAGAAAUCAUUGCUAAUACCGCAUAUGCCAUAGAUAUCACAUGAUAACAGUGGGAAAGGAGCAAUCCGCUAAUAGAUGGCCUUGCGUCUGAUUAGAUAGUUGGUGGGGUAACGGCCUACCAAGGCGACGAUCAGUAGCCGGACUGAGAGGUUGAACGGCCACAUUGGGACUGAGAUACGGCCCAGACUCCUACGGGAGGGAGCAGUCGGGAAUAUUGCGCAAUGGAGGAAACUCUGACGCAGUGACGCCGCGUAUAGGAAGAAGGUUUUCGGAUUGUAAACUAUUGUCGUUAGGGAAGAGAAAGGACAGUACCUAAGGAGGAAGCUCCGGCUAACUACGUG
rnacentral:rRNA from 1 species